GACGAACGCUGGCGGCGUGCCUAAUACAUGCAAGUCGAACGCAGUGGGGACGGGUGAGGAACACGUGGGUAACCUCCCAUCAGAGGGGAUAACACUUGGAAACAGGUGCUAAACUGAUACUGAUGGAUGGACCCGCGGUGCAUUAGCUAGUUGGUGAGGUAACGGCCCACCAAGGCCACGAUGCAUAGCCUACCUGAGAGGGUGUACGGCCAAACUGGGACUGAGACACGGCCCAGACUCCUACGGGAGGCAGCAGUAGGGAAUCUUCGGCAAUGGACGAAAGUCUGACCGAGCAACGCCGCGUGAGUGAAGAAGGUUUUCGGGUUGUAAAGCUCUGUUAAUCGGGACGCGGUACCGGAAUAGAAAGCCACGGCUAACUACGUGCCAGCAGCCGCGGUAAUUC
rnacentral:rRNA from 1 species